UCUCCGUUGGUGAACCUGCGGAAGGAUCAUUACAGUAUUACAGAACUCCGAGGGCUAUCGCUGACCCGACACGUCGCGCACGCCCGAGUGCCCUCACACACAUCCAUCCCACCCCUACGUGCACCACCGCGUGGGCCCACCUUUGUCUUGUUCGGAGGGGGGCUUAUGUUUUCACACCACCUUUUAAUUCAGUCUUGCAUGAAUUUAUUGUUUUUUCGAUCACGCCAUCAAUACAACUUUCAACAACGGCUCUCUUGGCUCUAGCACCGAUCAACAACC
rnacentral:misc_RNA from 1 species